rnacentral:rRNA from 1 species
AUGUUGAAUCCUAAACCUGAUGCAAGCAAGAGAUGGCUGGCGCCACAACCAGGUUACUCAAAGAUAAACAUCGACGGAGCUUUCUCCCGUGGGGGAAAAACAUCAGCGACAGUGGCUUUUUGCCAAGAUGCAUCAGGCAGAUACGUUGGAGCUUCAGCCCUCGUUUUGGGGAACAUUAAUGAUCCAACCGUCAUUGAAGCACUGGCUUGUAGGGAGGGCUUAGCCCUUGCUGCUGACCUGAACCUUGCAAGCAUUACUAUUGCGUCAGAUUGCCAAACAUUAGUGAUUGACAUUGAUCAAGGUUUGAGUGCUGCAAACGGUGCAAUUGUGCGGGAGAUACAAGGAAGGAUGGGCCAUUUUACCAGCUGUCUUAUCAUUCACGAAUGGAGAAACUUCAAUUUUGAACCCCACAAUUUAGCAAAACAAGCUUCUUCUUUAGGUUUUGGUCAUCAUGUUGGGCUGGAUCUCCCUUAUGAUCCUCUGAAUGUACCUGCAAACAUUGCUGUUACUUUUCAAUAA